rnacentral:tRNA from 1 species
GCCGAGGUAGUAUAAUGAGUGCGUUCGUUUUUCGUGCGAUUAGUGGUUUUAGUUAACCUCUCGGUU